GACGAACGCUGGCGGCGUGCCUAAUACAUGCAAGUUGAGCGCUGAAGGUUGGUACUUGUACCAACUGGAUGAGCAGCAAACGGGUGAGUAACGCGUGGGGAAUCUGCCUUUGAGCGGGGGACAACAUUUGGAAACGAAUGCUAAUACCGCAUAAAAACUUUAAACACAAGUUUUAAGUUUGAAAGAUGCAAUUGCAUCACUCAAAGAUGAUCCCGCGUUGUAUUAGCUAGUUGGUGAGGUAAAGGCUCACCAAGGCGAUGAUACAUAGCCGACCUGAGAGGGUGAUCGGCCACAUUGGGACUGAGACACGGCCCAAACUCCUACGGGAGGCAGCAGUAGGGAAUCUUCGGCAAUGGACGAAAGUCUGACCGAGCAACGCCGAGUGAGUGAAGAAGGUUUUCGGAUCGUAAAACUCUGUUGGUAGAGAAGAACGUUGGUGAGAGUGGAAAGCUCAUCAAGUGACGGUAACUACCCAGAAAGGGACGGCUAACUACGUG
rnacentral:rRNA from 1 species